GACGAACGCUGGCGGCGUGCUUAACACAUGCAAGUCGAACGGAAAGGCCCUGCUUUUGUGGGGUGCUCGAGGGGCGAACGGGUGAGUAACACGUGAGUAACCUGCCCUUGACUUUGGGAUAACUUCAGGGAACUGGGGCUAAUACCGGAUAGGAGCUCCUGCUGCAUGGUGGGGGUUGGAAAGUUUCGGCGGUUGGGGAUGGACGCGCGGCUUAUCAGCUUGUUGGUGGGGUAGUGGCUUACCAAGGCUUUGACGGGUAGCCGGCCUGAGAGGGUGAACGGCCACCUUGGGCCUGAGAUACGGCCCAGACUCCUACGGGGGGCAGCAGUGGGGAAUAUUGCACAGUGGGCGGAAGCCUGAUGCAGCAACGCCGCGUGCGGGAUGACGGCCUUCGGGUUGUAAACCGCUUUCGCCUGUGACGAAGCGUGAGUGACGGUAAUGGGUAAAGAAGCACCGGCUAACUACGUG
rnacentral:rRNA from 1 species